AGUGAACGCUGGCGGUAGGCCUAACACAUGCAAGUCGAACGGCAGCACAGUAAGAGCUUGCUCUUACGGGUGGCGAGUGGCGGACGGGUGAGGAAUACAUCGGAAUCUACUUUUUCGUGGGGGAUAACGUAGGGAAACUUACGCUAAUACCGCAUACGACCUACGGGUGAAAGCAGGGGAUCUUCGGACCUUGCGCGAUUGAAUGAGCCGAUGUCGGAUUAGCUAGUUGGCGGGGUAAAGGCCCACCAAGGCGACGAUCCGUAGCUGGUCUGAGAGGAUGAUCAGACACACUGGAACUGAGACACGGUCCAGACUCCUACGGGAGGCAGCAGUGGAGAAUAUUGGACAAUGGGCGCAAGCCUGAUCCAGCCAUACCGCGUGGGUGAAGAAGGCCUUCGGGUUGUAAAGCCCUUUUGUUGGGAAAGAAAAGCAGCAGGUUAAUACCCCGCUGUUCUGACGGUACCCAAAGAAUAAGCACCGGCUAACUUCG
rnacentral:rRNA from 1 species